rnacentral:rRNA from 1 species
GUUGUUGCAGUUAAAAAGCUCGUAGUUGGAUCUCAGGCUUGUGGCCGGUGGUCCGCUCGAUACGGGUGUGCACUGCCGUGUCCGGCCUACGUCUGGUCUAACGUCCAUAGUGCCCUUAACCGGGUGCUAUGGAACGCCAGAAAGUUUACUCUGAAAAAAUUAGAGUGCUCAAAGCAAGCCGUUUGUGCUUGAAUACUGUUGCAUGGAAUAAUGGAAUAGGACCUCGGUUCUAUUUUGUUGGUUUUCGGAGUCGAGGUAAUGAUUAAGAGGGACAGACGGGGGCAUUCGUAUUGCGCCGUUAGAGGUGAAAUUCUUGGAUCGGCGCAAGACGAACAACUGCGAAAGCAUUUGCCAAGGAUGUUUUCAUUAAUCAAGAACGAAAGUCAGAGGUUCGAAGACGAUCAGAUACCGUCGUAGUUCUGACCAUAAACGAUGCCAACUGGCGAUCCGCCGCAGUCUGGCUUAAAGGACUCGGCGGGCAGCCUCCGGGAAACCUAAGUCUAUGGGUUCCGGGGGAAGUAUGGUUGCAAAGCUGAAACUUAAAGGAAUUGACGGAAGGGCACCACCAGGAGUGGAGCCUGCGGCUUAAUUUGACUCAACACGGGAAAACUCACCCGGCCAGGACACCGUA